rnacentral:rRNA from 1 species
CGAGAAAAGGUUUCCGUAGGUGACCUGCGUGAAGGAGCAUUACACAUAUAAUUAUACCUGGGAAAAUUCGCAUUUAAAGUACUCAGGCGUAUUCUUAUACCCAUGUCUUUUGCGUACUACUUGUUUCCUUGGUAGGCUUGCCUGCCAUUAGGACACCCACAAAAACCUUUUGUAAUUGCAAUCAGCGUCAGAAAAUAACUUAAUAGUUACAACUUUCAACAACGGAUCUCUUGGUUCUGGCAUCGAUGAAGAACGCAGCGAAAUGCGAUAAGUAGUGUGAAUUGCAGAAUUCAGUGAAUCAUCGAAUCUUUGAACGCACAUUGCGCCCCUUGGUAUUCCAUGGGGCAUGCCUGUUCGAGCGUCAUUUGUACCCUCAAGCUCUGCUUGGUGUUGGGUGUUUGUCCCGCGUUGUCGUGUGGACUCGCCUUAAAGCAAUUGGCAGCCGGCAUAUUUGGCCUUGGAGCGCAGCACAUUUUGCGCUUCUAGUCAUGAAUGUUGGCGUCCAUUAAGCCUAUUACAUUUGCAUUUUGACCUCGGAUCAGGUAGGGAUACCCGCUGAACUUAAGCAUAUCAAUAAGCCGGAGGAAUUU